GCUGGGUGUGGUGGCUCACGCCUGUAAUCCCAGCCCUUUGGGAGGCUGAGGCGGGUGGAUCACCUGAGGUCAGGAGUUCAAAACCAGCCUGGCCAACAUGGUGAAACCCCGUCUCUA
ensembl:misc_RNA Metazoa_SRP Metazoan signal recognition particle RNA